CGCUGGCGGCGUGCCUAAUACAUGCAAGUCGAGCGGAAUGAUGAAGAAGCUUGCUUCUUCUGAUUUUAGCGGCGGACGGGUGAGUAACACGUGGGCAACCUACCUUGUAGAUUGGGAUAACUCCGGGAAACCGGGGCUAAUACCGAAUAAUCCAUUUUGCUUCAUGGCGAGAUGUUGAAAGACGGUUUCGGCUGUCACUAUAAGAUGGGCCCGCGGCGCAUUAGCUAGUUGGUAGGGUAAUGGCCUACCAAGGCGACGAUGCGUAGCCGACCUGAGAGGGUGAUCGGCCACACUGGGACUGAGACACGGCCCAGACUCCUACGGGAGGCAGCAGUAGGGAAUCUUCCGCAAUGGACGAAAGUCUGACGGAGCAACGCCGCGUGAGUGAAGAAGGUUUUCGGAUCGUAAAACUCUGUUGUUAGGGAAGAACACGUACGAGAGUAACUGCUCGUACCUUGACGGUACCUAACCAGAAAGCCACGGCUAACUACGUG
rnacentral:rRNA from 1 species